rnacentral:rRNA from 1 species
UGCCAGCAGCCGCGGUUAUACCAAGAGAUCAAGUCGUAUAUAUUGGUUAAAAGGUAGUUAUAUAAAGGAUGAAGUCUAUUGAUUGUUUAUUAAAAGGUAAAAUUUAUAAAUAGGUAAAAUAAAUUAGGGAUGGCUUGUUAUAUCGAAGCUACGAUAUCCUUGAGGGAAACUGGGAUUGGAUACCCCACUAUUCUUGGAUGUAAAUUAGUUAUACCAGAGCACUAUGAGCAUUUAUAGCUUAAAACUCAAAGGGCUUGGCGGUGUUUUAGAUCACUCAGGGGAACCUGUUUCGUAAUCGACAGUCCACGUUGAACCUAACCUUCUUUUGUUUUCAGCUUGUAUACCGUUGUCGCCAGGUAACUUUUAAAAAUUAAAAAGCUAGCAAGUAAACUGUAUGAGUUUAGACGUCAAAUCAGGGUGCAGUCUAUGGGAAGGAGAGAAUGGGUUACAAUUAUAAAGUUAUAAUACGGAAGAUUGACUUAAAAGUUGAUCUUGAAGGAGGACUUGAAAGUAAUUUUAAGUAUAUAAAUAACUUGAAUUAGACUCUGAAACGUGCACACAUCGCCCGUCGCUC